CUGCAUGGCUGUCGUCAGCUCGUGUCGUGAGAUGUUCGGUUAAGUCCGCUAACGAGCGCAACCCUCGCUGUGUGUUACAAGUGUCACACGGAACUGCCGGUCAUAAACCGGAGGAAGGUGGGGAUGACGUCAAGUCAGCAUGGCCUUUAUAUCCUGGGCUACACACACGCUACAAUGGGAAGGGACAAUAGGUUGCGAAGCCGCGAGGCGGAGCCAAUCCAGCAAAACUUCCCUCAGUUCAGAUUGCAGGCUGCAACCCGCCUGCAUGAAGUUGGAGUUGCUAGUAAACGCAGGUCAGCCAUACUGCGUUGAAUACGUUCCCGGGGCUU
rnacentral:rRNA from 1 species